rnacentral:lncRNA from 1 species
AAUUAAUACCAAUAGAAGGGCAAUGCUUUUAGAUUAAAAUGAAGGUGACUUAAACAGCUUAAAGUUUAGUUUAAAAGUUGUAGGUGAUUAAAAUAAUUUGAAGGCGAUCUUUUAAAAAGAGAUUAAACCGAAGGUGAUUAAAAGACCUUGAAAUCCAUGACGCAGGGAGAAUUGCGUCAUUUAAAGCCUAGUUAACGCAUUUACUAAACGCAGACGAAAAUGGAAAGAUUAAUUGGGAGUGGUAGGAUGAAACAAUUUGGAGAAGAUAGAAGUUUGAAGUGGAAAACUGGAAGACAGAAGUACGGGAAGGCGAAGAAAAGAAUAGAGAAGAUAGGGAAAUUAGAAGAUAAAAACAUACUUUUAGAAGAAAAAAGAUAAAUUUAAACCUGAAAAGUAGGAAGCAGAAGAAAAAAGACAAGCUAGGAAACAAAAAGCUAAGGGCAAAAUGUACAAACUUAGAAGAAAAUUGGAAGAUAGAAACAAGAUAGAAAAUGAAAAUAUUGUCAAGAGUUUCAGAUAGAAAAUGAAAAACAAGCUAAGACAAGUAUUGGAGAAGUAUAGAAGAUAGAAAAAUAUAAAGCCAAAAAUUGGAUAAAAUAGCACUGAAAAAAUGAGGAAAUUAUUGGUAACCAAUUUAUUUUAAAAGCCCAUCAAUUUAAUUUCUGGUGGUGCAGAAGUUAGAAGGUAAAGCUUGAGAAGAUGAGGGUGUUUACGUAGACCAGAACCAAUUUAGAAGAAUACUUGAAGCUAGAAGGGGAAGUUGGUUAAAAAUCACAUCAAAAAGCUACUAAAAGGACUGGUGUAAUUUAAAAAAAACUAAGGCAGAAGGCUUUUGGAAGAGUUAGAAGAAUUUGGAAGGCCUUAAAUAUAGUAGCUUAGUUUGAAAAAUGUGAAGGACUUUCGUAACGGAAGUAAUUCAAGAUCAAGAGUAAUUACCAACUUAAUGUUUUUGCAUUGGACUUUGAGUUAAGAUUAUUUUUUAAAUCCUGAGGACUAGCAUUAAUUGACAGCUGACCCAGGUGCUACACAGAAGUGGAUUCAGUGAAUCUAGGAAGACAGCAGCAGACAGGAUUCCAGGAACCAGUGUUUGAUGAAGCUAGGACUGAGGAGCAAGCGAGCAAGCAGCAGUUCGUGGUGAAGAUAGGAAAAGAGUCCAGGAGCCAGUGCGAUUUGGUGAAGGAAGCUAGGAAGAAGGAAGGAGCGCUAACGAUUUGGUGGUGAAGCUAGGAAAAAGGAUUCCAGGAAGGAGCGAGUGCAAUUUGGUGAUGAAGGUAGCAGGCGGCUUGGCUUGGCAACCACACGGAGGAGGCGAGCAGGCGUUGUGCGUAGAGGAUCCUAGACCAGCAUGCCAGUGUGCCAAGGCCACAGGGAAAGCGAGUGGUUGGUAAAAAUCCGUGAGGUCGGCAAUAUGUUGUUUUUCUGGAACUUACUUAUGGUAACCUUUUAUUUAUUUUCUAAUAUAAUGGGGGAGUUUCGUACUGAGGUGUAAAGGGAUUUAUAUGGGGACGUAGGCCGAUUUCCGGGUGUUGUAGGUUUCUCUUUUUCAGGCUUAUACUCAUGAAUCUUGUCUGAAGCUUUUGAGGGCAGACUGCCAAGUCCUGGAGAAAUAGUAGAUGGCAAGUUUGUGGGUUUUUUUUUUUUACACGAAUUUGAGGAAAACCAAAUGAAUUUGAUAGCCAAAUUGAGACAAUUUCAGCAAAUCUGUAAGCAGUUUGUAUGUUUAGUUGGGGUAAUGAAGUAUUUCAGUUUUGUGAAUAGAUGACCUGUUUUUACUUCCUCACCCUGAAUUCGUUUUGUAAAUGUAGAGUUUGGAUGUGUAACUGAGGCGGGGGGGAGUUUUCAGUAUUUUUUUUUGUGGGGGUGGGGGCAAAAUAUGUUUUCAGUUCUUUUUCCCUUAGGUCUGUCUAGAAUCCUAAAGGCAAAUGACUCAAGGUGUAACAGAAAACAAGAAAAUCCAAUAUCAGGAUAAUCAGACCACCACAGGUUUACAGUUUAUAGAAACUAGAGCAGUUCUCACGUUGAGGUCUGUGGAAGAGAUGUCCAUUGGAGAAAUGGCUGGUAGUUACUCUUUUUUCCCCCCACCCCCUUAAUCAGACUUUAAAAGUGCUUAACCCCUUAAACUUGUUAUUUUUUACUUGAAGCAUUUUGGGAUGGUCUUAACAGGGAAGAGAGAGGGUGGGGGAGAAAAUGUUUUUUUCUAAGAUUUUCCACAGAUGCUAUAGUACUAUUGACAAACUGGGUUAGAGAAGGAGUGUACCGCUGUGCUGUUGGCACGAACACCUUCAGGGACUGGAGCUGCUUUUAUCCUUGGAAGAGUAUUCCCAGUUGAAGCUGAAAAGUACAGCACAGUGCAGCUUUGGUUCAUAUUCAGUCAUCUCAGGAGAACUUCAGAAGAGCUUGAGUAGGCCAAAUGUUGAAGUUAAGUUUUCCAAUAAUGUGACUUCUUAAAAGUUUUAUUAAAGGGGAGGGGCAAAUAUUGGCAAUUAGUUGGCAGUGGCCUGUUACGGUUGGGAUUGGUGGGGUGGGUUUAGGUAAUUGUUUAGUUUAUGAUUGCAGAUAAACUCAUGCCAGAGAACUUAAAGUCUUAGAAUGGAAAAAGUAAAGAAAUAUCAACUUCCAAGUUGGCAAGUAACUCCCAAUGAUUUAGUUUUUUUCCCCCCAGUUUGAAUUGGGAAGCUGGGGGAAGU